rnacentral:snRNA from 1 species
AUACUCACUUGGCAGGGGACAUAUGAACACAAAGGUGGUUUUCUCAGGGUGAGGCUCAUCCAUUGCACUUUGGGUGUGUCUAUCCCUGCAAUUUUGUGGGAAACAUCACAGCAUAAUUUGUGGUAGUGCGGGACUACAUUCGCAUUUUCCUCUG